rfam:Triticum aestivum genome assembly, contig: Triticum_aestivum_CS42_TGACv1_scaffold_094648_2AL
CUUGUACUCCCUCUGUCCGAAAAUACUUGUCAUUGAAAUGGAUGUAUCUAGAUGUAUUUUAGUUCUAGACACAUCCAUUUUGAUGACAAGUAAUUCUGGACGGAGGGAGUACUUG